UUUAUAAGAAGUGUUUCUAUUUUUUUCCCGUCCUUCAAAAAAACAAGGCUUCAAAGUUGAAGACUAAGAGGUUGUUUUGGCAAAUGUACAUCUGUUUAGCAGCCAUGUUUGCAGCAAGAAAGUCAAUGGUAUUAGUGACACAGCUGCUCACCUGUACUCAUAGUAGUCGUCAUUAUACCUGUCCGAAUAUAAUUAGUUGCCAGACAUAUUUUCAGAUAAAGUCUUCAACAGAAGUGACAACUCGAUUAGCUUUUUACUUUAAAUUGCACAAAGGCUGUCAUUGGAUAAUUUAGCUCAUGUGACCAGAAUCUCGCGUCAAGAUAACGUUAAUCAGUUCACAGAUGCUCUUCAACCUGUGAUGCUUACAUCAGCUGUAACCACAGAUGGACCCUAUCAUACGUGACAGGAAGCUCCAUGCUGUGGCCUAAGCUACACAGGAAAUGCCCCCAGUGACCAGCCACCACCAUUCAUUCCAGCAGCAGAAGAUACUCCAGAUAAUCCCGCCUUUCCUUUUCAACUGAGCCCCCUUGUGUUUCUCUGCGCUGUGACAAGGAAACGAUGGCAGUGAGAAAACAAAAUGUACACCUGCGUCUGGAAUGGUCUCUUCCACUAUUCUGCAAGCCUCCCCUGAAUGAGUCAUC